CCUUACACAUGCAAGUCGAACGGCAGCACGGGAGCAAUCCUGGUGGCGAGUGGCGAACGGGUGAGUAAUAUAUCGGAACGUGCCCAGUCGUGGGGGAUAACGCAGCGAAAGCUGUGCUAAUACCGCAUACGAUCUCUGGAUGAAAGCGGGGGACUCGCAAGGGCCUCGCGCGAUUGGAGCGGCCGAUAUCAGAUUAGCUAGUUGGUGGGGUAAAGGCCCACCAAGGCGACGAUCUGUAGCUGGUCUGAGAGGACGACCAGCCACACUGGAACUGAGACACGGUCCAGACUCCUACGGGAGGCAGCAGUGGGGAAUUUUGGACAAUGAGCGCAAGCCUGAUCCAGCAAUGCCGCGUGCAGGAUGAAGGCCUUCGGGUUGUAAACUGCUUUUGUACGGAACGAAACGGUCUGCCUUAAUACGGUGGGCUAAUGACGGUACCAUAAGAAUAAGCACCGGCUAACUACGUGCCAGCAGCCGCGGUAAUACGUAGGGUGCGAGCGUUAAUCGGAAUUACUGGGCGUAAAGCGUGCGCAGGCGGUUAUAUAAGACAGAUGUGAAAUCCCCGGGCUCAACCUGGGACCUGCAUUUGUGACUGUAUAGCUAGAGUACGGUAGAGGGGGAUGGAAUUCCGCGUGUAGCAGUGAAAUGCGUAGAUAUGCGGAGGAACACCGAUGGCGAAGGCAAUCCCCUGGACCUGUACUGACGCUCAUGCACGAAAGCGUGGGGAGCAAACAGGAUUAGAUACCCUGGUAGUCCACGCCCUAAACGAUGUCAACUGGUUGUUGGGUCUUCACUGACUCAGUAACGAAGCUAACGCG
rnacentral:rRNA from 1 species